CUGGUCAGAACGAACGCUGGCGGCGCGUUUAAGCAUGCAAGUCGAGCGGCAAGGGCCUUCGGGCCCCUAGAGCGGCGGACGGGUGAGUAACACGUGGACAAUCUGCCCCCCGGCCCGGGAUAGCCCAGGGAAACCUGGAUUAAUACCGGAUGAGACGGGACCCGCGAUGGCGGGAUCCGGGAAAGGCGCUGCGGCGCCGCCGGGGGAUGAGUCUGCGUCCCAUUAGCUAGACGGCGGGGUAACGGCCCACCGUGGCGACGAUGGGUAGCCGGCCUGAGAGGGUGGACGGCCACAUUGGAACUGAGACACGGUCCAGACUCCUACGGGAGGCAGCAGCUAAGAAUCUUCCGCAAUGGGCGAAAGCCUGACGGAGCGACGCCCGCGUGAACGAAGAAGGCCGUGAGGUUGUAAAGUUCUUUUCGGGAGGGGGAACAACCGUGGCAGGGAAUGGCCGCGGGAUGACGUGAAUCCCGGAAUAAGCCCCGGCUAACUACGUGCCAGCAGCCGC
rnacentral:rRNA from 1 species